rnacentral:rRNA from 1 species
ACGAAUCCCUUCGGGGAUUAGUGGCGGACGGGUGAGUAGCGCGUGAGAAUCUGCCUUCAGGUUCGGGACAACCACUGGAAACGGUGGCUAAUACCGAAUGUGCCGCAACGUGAAAGAUUUAUCGCCUGAAGAUGAGCUCGCGUCCGAUUAGCUAGUUGGUGAGGUAAAAGCUCACCAAGGCGACGAUCGGUAGCUGGUCUGAGAGGAUGACCAGCCACACUGGGACUGAGACACGGCCCAGACUCCUACGGGAGGCAGCAGUGGGGAAUUUUCCGCAAUGGGCGCAAGCCUGACGGAGCAAGACCGCGUGAGGGAGGAAGGCUCUUGGGUUGUAAACCUCUUUUCUCAGGGAAGAAGAAAGUGACGGUACCUGAGGAAUCAGCCUCGGCUAACUCCGUGCCAGCAGCCGCGGUAAUACGGAGGAGGCAAGCGUUAUCCGGAAUUAUUGGGCGUAAAGCGUCCGUAGGUGGUUAUGUAAGUCUGCUGUCAAAGCACAGGGCUUAACCCUGUAAAGGCAGUGGAAACUACAAGACUCGAGUGCGGUAGGGGCAGAGGGAAUUCCCAGUGUAGCGGUGAAAUGCGUAGAGAUUGGGAAGAACACCUGUGGCGAAAGCGCUCUGCUGGACCGCAACUGACACUCAGGGACGAAAGCUAGGGGAGCGAAUAGGAUUAGAUACCCCAGUAGUCCUAGCCGUAAACGAUGGAUACUAG